GGGGUUGUGGCUCAGUGGUGGAGUGCUUGCUUAGCAUGUAUGAGGCACUGGGUUCAAUCCUCAGCACCACA
rnacentral:tRNA from 1 species